GAGAGACUGAACUGUUUCUUAAAAACAUGGUCUUCUGUUUUUAUUAAUCAAUAUGUGCGUAUGCCAGGAUGAAGUCAUGAGGAAGAGACGUUCCUGAAUUGCUUUACCACACUCUGCUCAAUGCGCCUUUCAUUCUCGUGACAUUUGUAGAGCUGCUCAGACACAUUCCUUCCACCACCACCACUCCUUUUUCCCGUGAAGAGUGAUCACUCUAGGGUUCUUUCGUAGCCCAGCCAGGACUGCCUAAUGAAACCCAGAGAUAUUAUGGAC